rnacentral:rRNA from 1 species
AGUAAAUAGAUACCCUGGUAGUCCACGCCGUAAACGAUGUCGACUUGGAGGUUGUGCCCUUGAGGCGUGGGCUUCCGGAGCUAAACGCGUUAAGUCGACCGCCUGGGGAGUACGGCCGCAAGGUUAAAACUCAAAUGAAUUGACGGGGGCCCGCACAAGCGGUGGAGCAUGUGGUUUAAUUCGAUGCAACGCGAAGAACCUUACCUACUCUUGACAUCCAGAGAACUUAGCAGAGAUGCUUUGGUGCCUUCGGGAACUCUGAGACAGGUGCUGCAUGGCUGUCGUCAGCUCGUGUUGUGAAAUGUUGGGUUAAGUCCCGCAACGAGCGCAACCCUUAUCCUUUGUUGCCAGCGGUUAGGCCGGGAACUCAAAGGAGACUGCCAGUGAUAAACUGGAGGAAGGUGGGGAUGACGUCAAGUCAUCAUGGCCCUUACGAGUAGGGCUACACACGUGCUACAAUGGCGCAUACAAAGAGAAGCGACCUCGCGAGAGCAAGCGGACCUCAUAAAGUGCGUCGUAGUCCGG